UACUCUGCGCGAUCGUAUCGUAAUACAAUUAUAAUGUUAUUCUUCUUUUUAUAACUAUUUAAUUCACGACUCGAUAAUUCACUCUAUUCGAUUACGUCUAAUCGAGACGAAGGAUGGAUGUGUCGAUGUUAUACUUGUAGAAGAAAAACUCAUUAGCAUCUCGUUAACCUUAUAUACGAAAGAUGCUUUCUUACUCGUACACAUUAUUCUAUUAAUAGCGCGAAAGGAAGAAUUAUUUGAAAUUCAAUUCGACCUAUCAAUCGAGUUUAAUAAGAACAAAUGUGACAUAUCGGCCAGAAUAUCAUGACCACCAUGUUUGCAUCUCACGUGAAUAAGUCCAAUUAUGGACUCGACAUCUAUUAUAUAAAGUCGUGCUCGUUUUAUUUGUGCUAAGAUUUUGUAGAUUGAGCAACCUUGAGAUACUUCCAUUCUUAUUAACCCUUUGAUACGCUACAGUAAAUCCACUUGUCGAAUAAUUUCAUGACUCGCUCGUUCUACCACGUGGACGUUACAUGGAUUUUUCACAGUGCACGUGCAAUUCCGGUUAUUUCGAUGAUUUAUCAAAAGAAAGAAAGAAAAGGAAAAACAACAACAACAACAACAACAACAACAACAACAAGCUUGUGUGGAAUCGAGGAAUUUUAAAUCUACGACUCUUUGCAGAUCCCAGCUCUUCUUUCCAGUUUUAGCGUGUCAUAAGAAGCUUUCUUACCUCAUCUCCGGUGUUGGCGAGUGCUGGUCCCACGGGUCUCUUGCUGGGGCCCAUGGGAUAUGCGGAACAGCGGGGUGCGGAGAUACGCGAACGCGGAGGUCACCAUUGACGCAAAUCCAUUUGACGGUCACGUGACCGGCCGCACCAACCUGAACACAAUGCGCGCGGACGCCACGACAGCACCACCUUUCAUCAAAUCCUCUCCUCCGCUCCUGUUUGCAACUGUAAAUACACGGCGAGAACAAUUGUGUAGAACUCGACCCAUUCGCGAAAAUAAUGUGCAAUUAAAGAGUUAAGGAUCAAUCGUUUAUCGAAUGCCAAUCAAAAUAUAUGCCUGCGUGAUAUUUUCUUUUUCUAUUGUUGAAUUUUUCUGAACUCAUAUCAUUCAUUUCAAAGAUAUAUUUUCGACAGCGAAUAUCUGUCAAUAUAAAGUUCGAUAAAAAUUUUGUAAUCAUCAAUAUGAAUUUUUUAUUAAUUUAUUGAUUAUAAUAUAUUUAUCUCUAUUUUAAAUGCCA